UACGUAGGGUGCGAGCGUUGUCCGGAAUUAUUGGGCGUAAAGGGUAGGUAGGUGGUCUCAUUUGUCUGGGGUGAAAGCCUUGAGCUUAACUCAAGAAGUGCCCCAGAAACGGUGAGACUGGAGUCCUGGAGAGGGUCGUGGAAUUCCCGGUGUAGCGGUGAAAUGCGUAGAGAUCGGGAGGAACACCAGAGGCGAAAGCGGCGACCUGGACAGGCACUGACACUGAGGAGCGAAAGCCAGGGGAGCAAACGGG
rnacentral:rRNA from 1 species